UACGUAGGGGGCAAGCGUUGUCCGGAAUCAUUGGGCGUAAAGCGCGCGUAGGCGGCCCGGUAAGUCCGCUGUAAAAGUCAAAGGCUCAACCUUUGAAAGCCGAUGGAUACUGCAGGGCUAGAGUCCGGAAGAGGCGAGUGGAAUUCCUGGUGUAGCGGUGGAAUGCGCAGAUAUCAGGAGGAACACCGGUGGCGAAGGCGGUGGUCUGGGCCGGCACUGACGCUGAGGAGCGAAAGCGUGGGUAGCAAACAGG
rnacentral:rRNA from 1 species